rnacentral:rRNA from 1 species
GGCGAACGGGUGAGUAAUGUAUCGGAACGUGCCCAGUCGUGGGGGAUAACGUAGUGAAAAUUACGCUAAUACCGCAUACGAUCUAUGGAUGAAAGCGGGGGAUCGCAAGACCUCGCGCGAUUGGAGCGGCCGAUAUCAGAUUAGGUAGUUGGUGGGGUAAAGGCCCACCAAGCCAACGAUCUGUAGCUGGUCUGAGAGGACGACCAGCCACACUGGAACUGAGACACGGUCCAGACUCCUACGGGAGGCAGCAGUGGGGAAUUUUGGACAAUGGGCGCAAGCCUGAUCCAGCCAUUCCGCGUGCAGGAUGAAGGCCCUCGGGUUGUAAACUGCUUUUGUACAGAACGAAAAGGUUUCUACUAAUACUAGGAGCUCAUGACGGUACUGUAAGAAUAAGCACCGGCUAACUACGUGCCAGCAGCCGCGGUAAUACGUAGGGUGCAAGCGUUAAUCGGAAUUACUGGGCGUAAAGCGUGCGCAGGCGGUUAUAUAAGUCAGAUGUGAAAUCCCCGGGCUCAACCUGGGAACUGCAUUUGAGACUGUAUAGCUAGAGUACGGCAGAGGGGGAUGGAAUUCCGCGUGUAGCAGUGAAAUGCGUAGAUAUGCGGAGGAACACCGAUGGCGAAGGCAAUCCCCUGGGCCUGUACUGACGCUCAUGCACGAAAGCGUGGGGAGCAAACAGGAUU